rnacentral:rRNA from 1 species
UGGGGAAUAUUGCACAAUGGGGGAAACCCUGAUGCAGCGACGCCGCGUGGAGGAAGAAGGUCUUCGGAUUGUAAACUCCUGUUGUUGAGGAAGAUAAUGACGGUACUCAACAAGGAAGUGACGGCUAACUACGUGCCAGCAGCCGCGGUAAAACGUAGGUCACAAGCGUUGUCCGGAAUUACUGGGUGUAAAGGGAGCGCAGGCGGGAAGACAAGUUGGAAGUGAAAUCCAUGGGCUCAACCCAUGAACUGCUUUCAAAACUGUUUUUCUUGAGUAGUGCAGAGGUAGGCGGAAUUCCCGGUGUAGCGGUGGAAUGCGUAGAUAUCGGGAGGAACACCAGUGGCGAAGGCGGCCUACUGGGCACCAACUGACGCUGAGGCUCGAAAGUGUGGGUAGCAAACAGGAUUAGAUACCCUGGUAGUCCACACCGUAAACGAUGAUUACUAGGUGUUGGAGGAUUGACCCCUUCAGUGCCGCAGUUAACACAAUAAGUAAUCCACCUGGGGAGUACGACCGCAAGGUUGAAACUCAAAGGAAUUGACGGGGGCCCGCACAAGCAGUGGAGUAUGUGGUUUAAUUCGACGCAACGCGAAGAACCUUACCAAGUCUUGACAUCCCUUGACGAACAUAGAAAUAUGUUUUCUCUUCGGAGCAAGGAGACAGGUGGUGCAUGGUUGUCGUCAGCUCGUGUCGUGAGAUGUUGGGUUAAGUCCCGCAACGAGCGCAACCCUUAUGGUCAGUUACUACGCAAGAGGACUCUGGCCAGACUGCCGUUGACAAAACGGAGGAAGGUGGGGAUGACGUCAAAUCAUCAUGCCCUUUAUGACUUGGGCUACACACGUACUACAAUGGCGUUAAACAAAGAGAAGCAAGACCGCGAGGUGGAGCAAAACUCAGAAACAACGUCCCAGUUCGGACUGCAGGCUGCAACUCGCCUGCACGAAGUCGGAAUUGCUAGUAAUCGUGGAUCAGCAUGCCACGGUGAAUACGUUCCC